rnacentral:rRNA from 1 species
AUUGAACGCUGGCGGCAGGCCUAACACAUGCAAGUCGAACGAGUGGCGGACGGGCGAGUAAUGUCUGGGAAACUGCCUGAUGGAGGGGGAUAAGUACUGGAAACGGUAGCUAAUACCGCACACCACCAGUUGGGCCCAGAGGGGAUUAGCUUGGUGGUGGGGUAAAGGCUUACCAGGGCGACGAUCCCUAGCUGGUCUGAGAGGAUGAACAGCCACACUGGGACUGAGACACGGUCCAGACUCCUACGAGAGGCAGCAGUGGGGAAUAUUGCACAAUGGGCGCAAGCCUGAUACAGCCAUGCCGCGUGUGUGAAGAAGGCCUUCGGAUUGUAAAGUACUUUCAGCGGGGAGGCGUUACCCACAGAAGAAGCACCGGCUAACUCCGUGCCAGCAGCCGCGGUAAUAC